UACGAAGGGGGCUAGCGUUGCUCGGAAUCACUGGGCGUAAAGCGCACGUAGGCGGACUUUUAAGUCAGAGGUGAAAGCCUGGAGCUCAACUCCAGAACUGCCUUUGAUACUGGAAGUCUCGAGUUCGGGAGAGGUGAGUGGAACUGCGAGUGUAGAGGUGAAAUUCGUAGAUAUUCGCAAGAACACCAGUGGCGAAGGCGGCUCACUGGCCCGAUACUGACGCUGAGGUGCGAAAGCGUGGGGAGCAAAC
rnacentral:rRNA from 1 species